rnacentral:rRNA from 1 species
UCCGUAGGUGAACCUGCGGAAGGAUCAUUACAGAGUUCAUGCCCGAAAGGGUAGACCUCCCACCCUUGUGUAUUAUUACUUUGUUGCUUUGGCGAGCUGCCUUCGGGCCUUGUAUGUUCGCCAGAGAAUAUCAAAACUCUUUUUAUUAAUGUCGUCUGAGUACUAUAUAAUAGUUAAAACUUUCAACAACGGAUCUCUUGGUUCUGGCAUCGAUGAAGAACGCAGCGAAAUGCGAUAAGUAAUGUGAAUUGCAGAAUUCAGUGAAUCAUCGAAUCUUUGAACGCACAUUGCGCCCCUUGGUAUUCCGGGGGGCAUGCCUGUUCGAGCGUCAUUUCAACCCUCAAGCUUAGCUUGGUAUUGAGUCUAUGUCAGUAAUGGCAGGCUCUAAAAUCAGUGGCGGCGCCGCUGGGUCCUGAACGUAGUAAUAUCUCUCGUUACAGGAACUCGGUGUGCUUGCUGCCAGAAACCCAAAUUU